GACGAACGCUGGCGGCGUGCUUAACACAUGCAAGUGGAGCGACGAACCGGGCUUCGGCCCGGGGCAGAGCCGCGAACGGGUGAGUAACACGUGGGUCAUCUGCCCAGUUGACAGGGACAACCCGGGGAAACCCGGGCUAAUACCUGAUGUGCCCCUCGGGGGAAAGGAAGCUUCGGCCUCCGCAACUGGAUGAGCCCGCGGCGCAUUAGCUUGUUGGUGGGGUAAUGGCCUACCAAGGCGACGAUGCGUAGCUGGUCUGAGAGGACGAUCAGCCACACUGGGACUGAGACACGGCCCAGACUCCUACGGGAGGCAGCAGUGGGGAAUCUUGCGCAAUGCGCGAAAGCGUGACGCAGCAACGCCGCGUGAGGGAAGACGGCCUUCGGGUUGUAAACCUCUUUCAGUUGGGACGAAGCUUCGACGGUUAAUAGCCGGCUGGAGUGACGGUACCUUCAGAAGAAGCCCCGGCUAACUACGUGCCAGCCGCCGCCGUAACAC
rnacentral:rRNA from 1 species